rnacentral:rRNA from 1 species
UACCAGCAGCCCCGAGUGGUCGGGACUGAUUAUUGGGCCUAAAGGCAUCCGUAGCCGGUUCUGCAAGUCCCCCGUUAAAUCCAGCUAGCCUCAACAGAAUGGGCCGCGGAGGUAAUACAUACAGAGCUAGGAGGCAGGAGAGGCAAGCGGUACUCAAGUGGGUAGGGGUAAAAUCCGUUGAUCCAUUGAAGACCACCAGUGGCGAAGGCGGC